GUGAAUCAUCAAAUUUUUGAACGCAAAUUGCACUCUCUUCGGAGAGGAUGCCUGUUUGAGUGUCAGCCUAAAAAAAAUCGACGUAGUCGCUGUUUCUCGGUUACAUUCUUCGGAAAUUGGGUCAACUUAAACCUUUGGGUUUUUUAAGCGGCUUAAAAUUUUCUGUACGAUUCCACGAACGUUUCUAAUAUUUUACUUCUUACAUACGUUUAAGUUUUCUAUCUUUAUUAGACGUGGCGUUUGCAUCGUAUAUCUUUCAUUAAUAUUUCGUUAACUGACCUCAUACAGGUAAGUACACCC
rnacentral:misc_RNA from 1 species